GUCUAUCUAGCCCAGUCGGUAGAGCACAAAUCUCUUAACCUUGUGGUUGUGGGUUCGAGCCCCAUGGUGUGCG
rnacentral:tRNA from 1 species